AAAGACCAAGUCCCUAUACAUGCCAUACUCAAAAUGAUGAGACUAGCUAUACUAAAUAUUCAAUUGAUAGUGUGAUCGAGUCUCCGACGUCUUCUAAUCCCCAAGCUAGCUUGGCGACACUAUAAGAAAGAGAAAGGAAAUGGGGUAAGCAUUAAAGCUUAGUAAGUUCACAUGCAAAUAAAAUACAACUUAAAUAAGUAUUAAUCAUACAUUUAACAUAAUGAACAUAAUCUUGCAUUUUAUUAAAUCUUUUAAACUCAUUCUUCAUAUAUAUAUUCAUAUUCUCACCACAAGUUCAUCAUAUCUCAUGACAUUCUCAUGAGUUCGAUGUACAUACCUGUGCCCACUUACACAUAAUAACUUACUUUCUCAUCUUCGACGUAUUCAUCAAGAUUACUUAUUGAACUUCCUUUAGAACUACCCGUUGAACACUAGGAAUAUCAUCGGAUACAUCGGAAUCUUGCACCUAAGUGCCUCAUAUGUAGCCAAUGCUACCUCAUAUCACAUAUCACAUGUUGCUCACUUUUGAGCUACUCACAGGUCUGCUCACAUAGGCUAUCGAGUAUUCGCAACACAUGUCGGACUACGCAGCCACCGGUAGAAUAUACGAGACCAGUACCUGGAUGCCAAAACAUGUGCCACAUACAUCAUGAACUCAGACCAUAACUCAAUAAGUUCAAAUGCCACAUAUAUCAUGAACUCAGACCACAACUCAAUGAGUUCAGAUCACAUAGUUCCUAGUGACAUGUCACUUGUAUCCUAAAAUAUUCCUAAGGUUCAAACGGGAUUCUUCAAUGCCAAAUUUCUGUCGUACUUGCUCGUAAUGUCGAUUUCAAUGCUCAUAGCACCAAUCAAAUACUCAUGGAAUAAUCAAAGCAUAAUUCAUAAUAAAAUUUAAGCAUUAACACAUGGCACAACAUCACAUUUAUUAUAUAUAUACUUACCAUAUGUAGUGGGCCAAAUUUACUCGACCCAUUAAAAAAAAAUAAAUAAAACCAAAUAUAUAGUCCAAGUCCCUUUAUUACAUCAGUCCAUCAGCCCAUUUUACAGUCCAAAACCUAAAAUUAAAUACAUAACCCAGGACCCAAUUAAAAUCCAUUAGCUAAAACCCUAGCCCAAAAUACCCGUGGUCCAAACGGCCCAAAACUAAAACAACUUCAGCUAAACAGAAACCUAGGGUUUCCCUAGUAGCCGCAACCCUCCAGCACUUCCCCCGUAUCCGCGCCAACACAGCCCCGUACGCCUCACGCCAAGGGCCAGCGCAUGCCCGUACUUUACCUGCAAGAAGGACAAACCACACAGCAACAACAAAACAACAAAAAGAAAAUUGUAUUUUUCUUUAUUGAUUAUUCGGCUAUAAAGCCUAUGAUUUCUAAUUGUAAAGGGGGCUUCUUUCUUUUACGAAAUACGAACGGGCACAAUAUAAGCAUAUUGAAAUAAAAAAAUUUCAAAAACAGUUCAAAAAGGUGAUUUUUUUUAGUUUUUCUUCUUCUCCGAUUUGGUCAUCAUUCUUUUCUUGCUUCUUGCCUUUCUAUUUGGUGUAUAAAGGUAAUAACGAAAGGAGGCUUACCUCCGUUGUUGGUUCCCUCAAAUCCUCACUCACUUCGUUGCGAUCGGAGUUUUGAGGAGGGGAUUCAAAAGCUUUUGAGCGAACCUCUGGACUCACGGUCGAAUAAGGCUGGGAUAGGCCUUGCAUGACGACUAUCGGCCGAACAUGGAGGCGAAAUGGUGACUGAGGGCUGCCUUUGGGUUUGGUCGAAAGAACUGGAAGAUAGGCAUCAGUUCUUUUUAUUUUGACUUAUUUUUUUUAAUGAUGAAUAACCAGUUUAGGGUUUUUUUACUUGGUUUAGUAUAGGAUUUGAAACGGCCCCGUUUUAGGGGGAGGGAACCCGCGC
rnacentral:lncRNA from 1 species